rnacentral:sRNA from 1 species
AGGCAAAUGUGCGCCUGGUCACUUCACAGCAUGGGGCCGGGUUAGUAUCAUCAGCUUUAGACAAACCCUCGCUGCCCGUCGGCGAGGGUUUUUCUUUGG